GCGUUGCCACCGUGCCUCAUCAUCGUCGCUGAAGCUCUCCAUGCCACUAUCAACGCCAUUUAGGGCAGAAGAGAAGAGGAAGAAUGAUAGAGAAAAGAUAUUGGAGCUGCUACAGGAACGGCGGUUCCUGCUUCUAACCUCUGCUCUUUUGAUUUCUGGAGCUACCGUGGGUGGAGUUUGUCAUCAAAGGAAGCAAGCUGCUGCCACCAACUCUUAAUUAAGCCAGUAUCCUCCUCUUUGUUCUGAUUCCAAUUUUUCUAUUUUUGAAACCCCCCUUUUUGGCUCCUAUUCCCUGCUACAAUUAGGUCGAGUGUUGAAGCUGGUGCUGCCAUGGGACGGUUGAAGCUGUUACUGAUUCUGAAUUUGCUAUCUGGUUCUUGCUUUGUCUUGAAUCCCUAGAGCUGAAAUUGCUUUUGAUUCCUAUCCAAUUUGAAUCCUCUAUUUUACUGCAACCAUGGUCAGUGCUGCGAAGGCUAAUGUUGUUACUGUUCUGGUUGUGGUUGCGUGAGAGUUACCGCUGCUGCCCUGAAACUAAAAGAGAAGAGAGUUGUUACGUUAAAGUAUGCGAUUGCGACAUCGAGGUAGGGGGUUUAAAACGAUUUUAAUUUAAGAAUGCCUACAAGGUUUAUUGAAUAACUGCAAAU